rnacentral:rRNA from 1 species
AGGAUUCCCCUAGUAACGGCGAGUGAAGAGGGAAAAGCCCAGCACCGAAGCCUGCGCAAAUUUGCUGUUAGGCAAUGUGGUGUUUGGGUCGGCUCGUGGGAUUGCCACUCCACUCGAAGUCCAGCAUUGAGUAUGGUCACUGGAUUUGGCCCAGAGAGGGUGAAAGGCCCGUACGGUGGAGGUUCAGACAUGUAAGGCAGUUCACCAGGCCGACCUUAGAGUCGGGUUGUUUGAGAAUGCAGCCCAAAGCGGGUGGUAAACUCCAUCCAAGGCUAAAUACAAGCACGAGUCCGAUAGCGAACAAGUACCGUGAGGGAAAGUUGAAAAGUACUCUGAAGAGAGAGUAAACAGUACGUGAAACCGCAUGCAGGUAAACGGGUGGCGUCAAGCUGCAAGCCCGGAGGAUUCAGCCGGCUAGGAUGUUGUGUAUGCGCCUGGCGCAUCUAUCAGUCGGAGUAUGAUUGGAUAGUCCACCGGUAGACGGUGGCCCGGCGCAAGUCGGAUAUGUGUACCGGGUGGGUGCCGGAGCAUGCUAUCCGUCUAGGGACUGUCUAGCCGGUGCACUUUCUCUGUGGUGAACACCACGACCGGUGGUAUUGCCAGUCUGCUGUGUCCAAGUCGUGCUUGGAAGGUCCUUGUGGCCAACUGGGUGCGAUGACAGGCAAACUCAGUAAACGGCGUAGAGGUAUCUCGGUACCUUUGCGUGUUAUCGGCUACUGGUUGUCAACGGGCCUGCCCGGUGUGCUUGUGUAGCCGGCACCGGGUGGUCUGGUGGGGCAUGGUGGUAAGAAUAACUGUGCAAGGCACCGGAGUUAUCGGCCUCAAAUGCUUUCUGCACCCAUGUUACAGUGGUAAUGGCAGUGUCGUUGCUACCUGCCCGGUGUUGGGUCUGAUUGUCGUGUCGCCUGCACAAAGUAGGCCCGGCAGUGGUUCGACUCGGGAUGGGUAGUGGAUGAUGUUGUUAGUGCAGGAGGUGGUGGGCCCAAUAGUCAGUG